rnacentral:tRNA from 1 species
UAAAGAAUAUUAUAUUAGUAUUUUUAAUUUUUUAUUAAAAGGUUUUUUUUUUUCU